UACGGAGGGUGCAAGCGUUAUCCGGAUUUACUGGGUUUAAAGGGUGCGUAGGUGGGUUGGGAAGUCAGUGGUGAAAUACUUUCGCUUAACGAAGGAACUGCCAUUGAUACUAUCAAUCUUGAAUGUAGUGGAGGUAGGCGGAAUGCGUCAUGUAGCGGUGAAAUGCUUAGAUAUGACGCAGAACACCAAUUGCGAAGGCAGCUUGCUACACUACUAUUGACACUGAGGCACGAAAGCGUGGGGAUCAAACGGG
rnacentral:rRNA from 1 species